UCAUUUUGUUGCUCCCCACCGCCUUCCUAUCCACUCAUUUUUUUCAUCUCCACUCUUCUCUCACAUCUCGCUGCCACUUCCACCGCUCGCACCAUGCGGCCGCACUUUCUGCCAUGCGCGAGCCGCUCCUCCUUCCUUUUCUCCCUCCCUCCCCGCUGCGACCCACACGCCCUCCAUGCCGCCGGAGUAGAGCACGACGGUGGCAGCUUUCAGCGAGCGGCGCAACUCCCUUCCUCCCUGCUCUUUCUCCCUCGCUCUCGUGACCUCCAUGCAUCUGGAGAUGGAGACAACGACGCAGCUCCGACGAGUAUGUUUUUCAGGUGAUGUCGCAGUAGGAUAGGGUUCCGGCGAGCUCUCGGGUUCAGAUCUCGUCAUUGUUGCAAUGGUUCUAUCUAGACGUUGUAGUAAGUUUUAGUCGUUGUUGCAGUUUUGUGUUUUGAGAUGUUGUUUCAGUUGCUUCAGUCUGCAUGUUGUAGUAGUUUGUUUUAUGUUGUUACAACAUUUGUUCGGUGUUGUUGUAGUACUAUGUCCAUGGUGUUUUAGUUGCUCCAUCCAAUGCUUUAAUCUGCACUGUCGUAUUAGUUGUUGCAUGUUGUUGCAACAGUUGGUCGAUGUUGUUGUAAUACUAUGUCUAUGGUGUUUCGGUUGCUCCAUCUAAUGGUUCAACCUAUGCUGUUGUAUUAGUUGUUACAUGUUGUUGCAACAGUCGUUCUUUGUUGUUGUAAUACUAUAUUUAUGGUGUUUCAGUUGCUCCAUCUAAUGCUUCAACCUAUGUUGUUGUAUUAGUUGUUA